AAAAACUAUAAGGAACAGAGGAAAAAAAAACUUUGUUGUUUAGUCCUCCAACACUGAAAUAACUGUUAGACUCAUUAAUCUGAUACAAGACAGCAUGGAAAUGUCCAUAAUGUCUAAACCUAUCUCUAACAGCCCGGGAAGUAUCUGUUUACAUCCCAAAUGGCACCCUAUGCCCUACAUAGUGCACUAUUGAUGACCAAGAGCCCUUAGGGUAGAGCACUAUGAAGGCAAUAGGGUGCCAUUUGGGAUCUGGCGGGACUCACCCCGAGGCAAGGGAGUGAUUAGGCUGAUUUGUAAAGGAAUGUUUUUAAAAGGAGACAAGUAGUCUCUAGUUUUUAAAUCAUGCACCGAGGAGAAAUACAGGGUUGUGAUGGGUUGGAAGGGGGUUAACACAGAGGGGUUGGAAGGGGUAGGGUUAACACAGAGGGGUUGGAAGGGGGUAGGUUUAACCCAGAGGGGUUGGAAGGGGGUUAACCCAGAGGGGUUGGAAGGGGGUUAACCCAGAGGGGUUGGAAGGGGGUUAACCCAGAGGGGUUGGAAGGGGGUUAACCAGAGGGGUUGGAAGGGGG
ensembl:lncRNA